AUCCUCUCAGGGUCACACCUGGAGAGUUUCCAGUACUCUACCAGUUUUAACUACAGAAGAGAGAGUCAAGCAGAAGCACAACUAUUCCAUUCCUAGCUUGGGCAGUGGCUAGCAAGUGGAAGGCAAUCUGCUACAAGU